rnacentral:lncRNA from 1 species
AUGUUCAGGUGCUUUGUUUGCAAGUUGAAUUUUGAUACAGUUACAGAGUUAAUUCGCCAUCUCAAGAUUACUCAUUCUAUUUUUCCUGGCAGAAAGUUACAGUUGGUAUGCGAUCAGGAUGGGUGUUGUCAAAGAUUUGUUACAUUCUCUGGCUUUAGAAAACAUAUCCAAUGUAGACACAACAGUAAAAGCUCUGAAAUGCAUUCAUUAGAACCUCCCUCUAGUCCCUCUGUCGUGCAGUCCUCCAGCACAGUUUCAGAAAACCCAAGCACAAGUGGUCAUGAGAGAACAUUGCGAACCCAAGAAAUGUGUGCAUCUCUAAUUGCAAAACUGCAGAGUAGUGGAGUACCCACCAAUGUAGUUACAUCAGUGGCUGAAAAUAUGGAGGAACUUGUGUAUGAAUUGCACUCAAACAUUAAAGAGGAUGUUGUUAAGUUGAUUGAAACUGAUGAACACAGGAACGCUAUUGAAGAAUAUUUUGACAGUCUUGAGAAUCCCUUCUCUAAGUUCACAACAGAAACAAAAUGGAAAAAGUAUUUCUUUGAGACUUGGGGUGUUGUAGAACCAGUUGAAAUACCUUUAGGACAGAGAUAUGACACUAGGCGAAAUACAGCUACAGGUACAUACGAUCAGGUGCCAGUCACUGAUAAAUUUGUAUAUGUUCCUUUAUUGCAGACUUUAAGUUUCAUGUUCCGAAAUGAAGAAAUCCAUAAACAUUUUGUACAGCCAAGUGAGGAGAGAGAAAUUUUAAGAGAGUUUUGUGAUGGUAGCUAUUUUAAAGAGCAUUCCCUUUUUUCCAAAGAAAAUAAGUCUCUUCAAAUACAACUUUUUUAUGAUGAUUUUGAAACCUCAAAUCCUCUGGGAUCCAAACAUGGCAUGCAUAAGGUUGGGAGUAUGUAUUUUGUUUUGAGAAACCUGUCUCCUAAGGUCAACUCUGCCCUAAUGAAUAUCCAUCUUUUGGCACUUUUUCACACACAAGAUGUCCAGCGGUAUGGCUUAAAUGCAAUCCUGGAGCCUAUUGUGCGUGAUAUUAAAAUUCUUGAGAGUUCUGGAAUUAAGUUGCCACUCUCUGAAGAACCAAUACGUGGAACAAUAGCUCAAGUAACUGGUGAUAAUCUGGGGGUGCACACACUCUUUGGGUUUGUACAGUCAUUUAGCGCAAACUACUUUUGCAGGUUUUGUCUAAUUGAUAAGCUUUCUUCUCAGACCAUUUUCUUUGAUGACCAUCCAGACAUCAUACUGCGUGACAGAGUUUUACAUGCUGAGCACUGUCAAAGUCUUCUUACUGAUGAUGCUUCACAGUCAUCAUUUGGUGUCAAAAGAACAUGUUUACUUAAUGAGUUGGAGUAUUUUAAUAUUUCUGAAAACUAUGCAGUGGAUAUCAUGCAUGACUUGCUAGAGGGAGUAGCACAGUUCGAGAUGAAGUUGCUUUUUGAUUAUCUGUCGGAGAGCAAAGUUGUGUCCUUACAGUCUGCGAGCAACAGAAUUUACUCAUUUAACUAUGGUUAUGUUGAACGUAAAAACCGACCUACCAUGAUUAAAUUUGAACAACCUGGGAAUGGGUUGGGUCUCAAUGCCAUCCAGACAUUUUGCCUCAUUAGAAAUCUGCCACUGAUUUUUGGAGAUCUGGUUGAAGUAGGAAAUAAGCACUGGAGGUUACUGCUGCUUCUACUGCAUAUAAUAAAUAUAGUUUUUUCUCCAGUCAUCUCGAAUGGAAUGACCGUUUAUCUGAAACAUUUGAUCUGUGAACACCACACGCUGUUCAAACAACUCUAUCCAAGAAAUCUUAUUCCCAAGCAUCACUUCAUGAUCCACUAUCCCCGAUGCAUCAGGAAGAUAGGCCCACUUGUUCAUGUUUGGGGGAUGCGCUACGAGGCAAAACACCGCUUUUUUAAAAAAAGUGUAAAAAAUUUCAAAAACAUUACCAAGUCAUUAGCACUUAAACAUCAGAUGGCUAUCGCAUAUCACUAG